rnacentral:lncRNA from 1 species
UCUGUGUCGGUGAAAGGGGAGAAACUGGCUGACUUGCGUCUGUUUUUAAUGAUGUCGCUGCUGCUGGGAAAAUUUGGAAGCUGCAGGACAUUAGAAAGGAUAUCGUGAACAGCCAUAUGAAGAGAUGGGCAAGCAUGUGCCGAGCUUCCGUGCCCUCUCUGGGCCUGCUGCCCUCCCACCUAGACACGCUCAGCAAUGCUGAAGCUUAUCAAUUCGUGGUCAACAGCUAAUAAAGAGCUUGAUCUCCA